AGACAUUCGAGCAGAGGACAAACUAUUUCAUAAACUAUCAUUAAGAUGGUGAUGGUGUUCUUGCUCCGAUGAUUUUAGGUAUCCAGGAAAACGUACGAUUAACACUAAAAAUAGUCUUCGCAAAUUCCAAAUCUUUGUGGAUGCUCAUUUACAGGAAAAUCCUCGAGUAAAUCAGUUAAACAAGUAGGAGGUUGGAGCUGCUUAACUCUAACUCCGGAUCAAGCAAGAGUGUAUAUCGG